GGUGAACGCUGGCGGCGUGCCUAAGACAUGCAAGUCGAGCGGGGCAGGUUUAUUCCUGUUCAGCGUCGGACGGGUGAGUAUCGCGUGGGUGUCCUACCCUGACUAGUCGUACAGCCUGGGGUAACCCAGGCUAAUCCGCCAUGUGGUCCUGUCCUGUGGGGCAGGACUAAGGGCUCGACCCGCUUCCGGAUGGGCACGCGUCCCAUCAGCUAGUCGAUGGGGUAAAGGCCCACCCAGCCGACGACGGGUAGCCGGUCUGAGAGGAUGGCCGGCCACAGGGGGACUGGGAAACGGGCCCAAGUCCUACGGGGGGCAGCAGUUAGGAAGCUGCCGCAAUGGACGGAAGUCGGACGGAGCGAGGCCGAGGGGAGGAGGAAGCACAUCGGGGUGUAAACUGCUGAACGGGGGAAGAAAGCCACGUGUAGGGGGAGGACGGUACCCAGGUAAGAGCGCCGGCCAACUCCGUG
rnacentral:rRNA from 1 species